AGGCAGGGGCAGGGGGAAUUCCAAGAAGGGGAUGAAGAAGGUUUUGUGAAGAGGGUUCCGGAGAAUUUCGGGAGGCAGGGGCAGGCGCAGGGGAAUUCCGAGAAGGGGAUGAAGAAGGUUUUGUGAAGAGGGUUCUGGAGAAUUUCCGGGGGCAGGGGCAGGCGCAGGGCUGAUUCCGAGAAGGGGAUGAAGAAGGUUUUGUGAAGAGGGAGUGGCCGGAUGAUCGGACGAUCGAAUACAUCAAAGGGAGUAACCCGUCCCUUUCCUUUUACAUUUAUGCAUUUAAUUUAGUUUAACAUUAUGCAUAUAUGAAUAGAUUUAUUUUUACGUCCGUCUCGGGACAUGCAUGCAUUAAUUUUUUUGUUUAUAUAUUUU